CAGCAGCCACGGGAAUACGAAGGGUGCAAGCGUUACUCGGAAUUACUGGGCGUAAAGCGUGCGUAGGUGGUGGUUUAAGUCCGUUGUGAAAGCCCUGGGCUCAACCUGGGAAUUGCAGUGGAUACUGGGUCACUAGAGUGUGGUAGAGGAUAGUGGAAUUUCCGGUGUAGCAGUGAAAUGCGUAGAGAUCGGAAGGAACAUCUGUGGCGAAGGCGACUAUCUGGGCCAACACUGACACUGAGGCACGAAAGCGUGGGGAGCAAACAGGAUUAGAUACCCCGGUAGUCCCUGUCUCUUAUAC
rnacentral:rRNA from 1 species